rnacentral:rRNA from 1 species
UAGGGAAUCUUCGGCAAUGGACGAAAGUCUGACCGAGCAACGCCGCGUGAGUGAAGAAGGUUUUCGGAUCGUAAAACUCUGUUGGUGGAGAAGAACGUUGGUGAGAGUGGAAAGCUCAUCAGGUGACGGUAACUACCCAGAAAGGGACGGCUAACUACGUGCCCG